rnacentral:tRNA from 1 species
UGCGAGAGUGGCGGAAUUGGUAGACGCGCUGGUUUUAGGUACCAGUACCAUUGGUGUGGGAGUUCGAGUCUCCCCUCUCGUAA